rnacentral:lncRNA from 1 species
ACUCCUCUCCCAAGCCAGCUACCUCAUCGGAGCGCCGCCCCGCCUCGCCCCGCGCAGUUUGGAUUCGAAGUGCGCGGGCGGGGAGGGAGUUGAGAGCACCGCGGCUACCUGGCUUCCCUGAGUCCCGGCUGCCGGGAACGGGCGCGGGGGUGAAUAGGUAAGUUAGCGCCUAGUUUCCCUCGCUCAUCCAAGAAGCGAAGCUUGGAAUCGAUCUUUGGUGGGACUCUUCCCCAGAUGUAAGAAGCCAUACACUAAAGGGGAAGGGAAGGAACAUUGAGUCCUGCUCAUGGGCCUGGAACGUUUCAACGCCAGUUAUCCCAUUUAACCUCCACAAUCGCCAUUGCAGAGGAAACGCAAAAAGAUUUGAAUGAUUUGCCUAAGUCACGUUAUCAAAUUAGAUGAGUUUCUAAAUCGUUACAUGAAAAAUUUAAAACUCAAAAUAGACAUUACUUUUGUAGCCUCCUUUCCUCGAUGAACAUGUUACAUCCCUAAAUGCUUAUAUAUCACCGUUUUUUCCCAGUGAUUCAUGGUGGCAUGGUGGCAUGAAUCCUGGUGUGUAGAUAUCUCGCCCAUUCUGCUAUUGAUAUUUAGAUGAUAAUUUAAAAGAUAAGGCUGGGCUGAAUAUCUUCAUACAUAAAUCUUUGUGUAUGUAUGUAUUUAUAAAUGCAUCCUGCAUUUUCGUACGGCUGAUUCCUAGAGGUGUAAUUACUGAAUGCUCCCUUUAUUAAUUUGCCUUCUGCACAAAGCCUCACCGGAAAAGUACCCUCCUUUUGUUACCCUCAGCAGGGCUGAAUUCUAUUGUACUUCUAAACAUCUUUGCUCAUUUUGUAGGUAAAAUAAUAAUACUGGCAUUUCCUUGUUUGGCACUUGAUUAUAAUUGAAAUUGCACAUUUUUCGUGUUUAUUGGCCAACUGUAACUUAAGUGAAUCCUCUUCAUAUGCCUUUUCCCUAAAGGUAAAGGAUGCUUGUUUGCUUCACCUUCAGAACCAUAUUUUUCUUAUUUUCAGAAAAACUUCAUUAGUGCUUUCAAUGUUCUUUUUACUUUUUUUAAUUGAGACGGAGUCUCGCUCUGUCACCCAGGCUGUAGUGCAGUGGCCCAAUCUCAGCUCACUGCAACCUCCGCUACCUGGGUUCAAGCAAUUCUUGUGCCUCAGCUUCCCGAGUAGCUGGGA